rnacentral:lncRNA from 1 species
GAUAGAGCGUUGUCUGCUGUGUUCGGCGCGGCCGGAGUAGUUGUAUCCGGAGCGACGGUAUUCGUCGUGGGUCUUGGGGCGCCCACAUGAUCCAUAGAUAGAUCUGGAUUGUCUUGCCUUGUCCUCCAAUAUAUCCCGCAAGUCCGGCGCGUUCCCCCAUGGCUUUUGUGACACCCCAAAAUUUUGACCUUGUUUCAUUAAUUAAAAUUUUGCCAGGAAACUAAAACUUUGAUUUUCUGGGCUCCCUUUUUGAUUUUUGAACCUUUUCUCCCUUGCUAUUAUGGAGUUUUCCCCAAAGAGAAAACUUUUCAAAUAUGUUAUUGGACUUGUUUAACCUCUCAAGAAAAACUUUUCUUUUAUUAGUAGAACUAAUUACAUAAUUAAUCUGCUUGAUCUUUAUUUUCUUGAAAAAUAGUUUUUCAAGGUUAUAUGGCCAUAUUUGAACUACAACCAUUUGAUAUAUUUAUCUAAAAAUCCAACCAAAAUUUGGAGAUGUCAUGUGAUGUUUUUGAAUCAAUUUUAUACAAAAAUAUCUCUUAUUCUUGAAAUAUUUUGAGCUCUACACCCAAUUUUCUUCUCUGGUCCAGAGAGCAACCUUGCACUACAACCCUUUUAAAAAAUUCUUUCUAGCCUCCACCAAAAUUAUGGGAUGUCAGUAGAAGCAUAUUAUUCAGCUUUAUGCAAAAACCCAGCUAUGUUAUUUGAAAAAUUUGAGUGAAUCAUCCUCAUUUCCAUUCUGGUCCAACUUGAGGUUUUGUACUACAACUAUACUUUAACUUGCUCCUUUUGCUGUGAUUCCUUUUCCUACUUGUAGAUCACCCUACUAAACCCCUAAGUCCAGGAGAGUGGACCCAUUGGAUGAUUCUAAGUGCUUGCAACAAUGCCUUUUGCUUUCUGUACAGAAUUGAAGUUUUGCAAAACUUGCACUAGCAAGUGUCUCCUUUAUGCAAACUAACUUCACCACUCCCUCUUGCGUCCAAAGAGACACUGACCUGGAAGAUUUGGCCCCUCCAAGAAUAGCCUAGGUGCCUUUGGCAUUUUGACAAACACCUAGAGUGCAUGGGCUGAAUUGGCAUGAUCUCAAGCCUACAUUGUGAACUUGACCACAUGACCAAACCAACUUGUCCCUUGAGUUUCCCUCUACCUAUAACCUAGUUCUGUGGCUUGCCAGACUCACCGGUGACCUGUAGCAUGCCACGACAUUACCCCGAACACCUUCAGUGCAUGCUCUGGACGCGCCCAGAGCACGCGUAUUGCAGCCGCGCGCCCGAGCCGACACGCUGGCCCCCACGGCCUUGGCCCGCUCUGCAGCACCACGCCACGCGCUCCCCUCCUUGCAGCAACGCGCCAAGCCACCCUGGCAGCCUACAGCGCCGCCGACAGAGCUUUUGGCGGCACACCGACGACCAUAGCGCGCCCCUGCCACGGUCGGCACCGCCCAAACCACCCCGGCCCGCCACCUGCCCCUUGGCACAGCCCAAGCUCAUCCUCAACCUUGCCCGCUAGCUCUCGUCGUCGCCACGACGCCCCGCGGCUACAGAAAGACGGUCGCCGGUGACCUUAUCCGCGGCCACCGUCGGAAUCGACCCCGAACGCCUAUUUAAGGAGGCCCCCGAGCACGUUCCGUUCGCAGGCGGCCUCAGUACACUCCCCUAGUCUCCCCAUUGCAGCCAAUCGACCGGAGGAGGUCGUCUUCCCCACCUCCGGCAGCAGCGGCCGCCGCCAUGGCCCCAGCUCUCCCAGCGCCACCAGGGCCUCUCCCUCCCAAUUCUCUUCGCCAAGAACACCUCCUCCCCUCCAGGAACCCAACCCCCCACUUGAUUUUGAUCGGGAACCACAUUCACCCGAAAACCACUCCAUCACCGAAGCUCCCUCCGCCGCGGAGCUCGCCGCCGACGAACCCCUCCGUCCCUGCCGGCCAGUCGACCACCGGGAGGACCGCCUAGGAGAGGUGGAUCCAUCCCUGGCCUCGGAUGCCCUCGAGGAGCCUCCCUUCGCCGGCGACGAUCGCCGGAGCGCCGCUUCGCUCGGGCAGAGGAGGGAGAAGGGGCGCGGCGACUGGUCAAACCUGACCAGUGGGCCAGGCGGGCCCACUGUCAGCGACCCACCCCGCCGCCACGCGUGUUAAGUGAAAGCGUAAAACCACGAAGUACGUUUCCUCCGCUCGAAAACGUAUUCCAGUCUGAAACGUUUUCUUUUCUAUUUUUAUUUUAAAAACAGAUUUUGACCAAAUCUUUGACUGGCUUUAUCUUUUUAAAUAUAACUCCAAAUGAAUUAAUUCUUUUUCCUACCUCUCUCAAAUAUUGUCUAGUUUAUUUUAAGAUUUAUUUGAAAAAAAUUUAAAACAACUUUUGGUGCGGUUUUUAUUUUGUGUGUUAAUUCUUUAUAUUGCUAAAAUAGGAUUUUUGAAGAGAGGAGAAACUUUCAAAAGUUUUGAAGUACACCCUGACUUACCACACAUUGAAGGCAAGCAUUCUGAAUCCCGGCAUAAUAUUUUGGUGUGAUCGUUGAUACAAUUUUAACACCACCGCAUUUCGAAGGACUUGUUAUUUCAUAUGAUAUGAUCAUAUGCAUGAGUGCAUAAUAGCGGUUUCCAUGCUGUUGGAAAUAAACACACUUAUGAUGAUAAUCAUCCUCAUGUGUCUUGCGUGCAUGCCGGAAAGGAAUCCGGGAAAGCCUCUGCCUUGGGUAGGUACGAGCUUGUCGCCGGCCUCCGUCGGGACGGGUAUGUCCGGUAUGGCAUAGUAAGAUAUAAUGAGUGUUGAUUGGAUUGGUUGAAGUAUAUUUGUUAUAUAUGUUAUGCAGGAAAUUAUAAACCUCCUGAGUCGACCGUAGAACGAGUCUUGUUCCAGCAACCCCCACACUUGUUUCGUGCUACCACUUGUCCCUGCCACAGGUAGGGUACGGUUCAGUAAUUUGUCAACCCCUUUCGUGCACACACCGUACAGAGGGGCCGGGAUGAGGGUACCACGGCCAUGGAUUAAAGCCAGUCAUCCGGUCAGGGGGCAUGGGUGUUUCGGUUGUAGCCGAGGGGGUAGCUCCCCCAGUUUUGCGCACGGUAUAAAUUUUUUUUGAUCCCAUGCUAAUCGAGGUUGUAGCCUCCCCACUUAGAGUUUUGCUUAACGGGUGUCGUGGGUGAUUCCAGACACCGGUAAGUUAAGCUGGUGUGUGCAAGUCAGGUGUGUUUUCAUUUAAAACACCGUAAGCGGAAUUAGUUCCGAUGGACUAAAGGAAAUCCGUUACUCGUGGGUAAAGAGUACACUCUCUGCAGAGAUUAAAACCUAUUCGAAUAGCCGUGUCCAUGGUUAAGGAUUACAGUCUGGGACGGGUCAAGUGUCGGUCUUAGUGUCGGUCUUCGGAGGUGAUAACUGUUAAACCAGAACUGGAAUACUACUGGUGACUUGUGAUAAUUAUGAUUAUUAUUAUUGUUGACUAACCCGUGAUAUUAUUGUUAUUAUCGAGUAUCUCCGGGAUGGUUCUACCUCCGGGAUAUUCACUAUGAUUGUUUAUUUUAAAGCCCUUUAUGCGGUGUCGCUCAGACGCCCGACUGUGGCAUUUAUUUUAAAGCCCUUUAUGUGGUGUCGCUCAGACGCCCGACCGUGGCAUUUCUUUUAAAGCCCUUUAUGUGGUGUCGCUCAGACGCCCGACUGUGGCAUUUCUUUUAAAGCCNNNNNNNNNNNNNNNNNNNNNNNNNNNNNNNNNNNNNNNNNNNNNNNNNNNNNNNNNNNNNNNNNNNNNNNNNNNNNNNNNNNNNNNNNNNNNNNNNNNNNNNNNNNNNNNNNNNNNNNNNNNNNNNNNNNNNNNNNNNNNNNNNNNNNNNNNNNNNNNNNNNNNNNNNNNNNNNNNNNNNNNNNNNNNNNNNNNNNNNNNNNNNNNNNNNNNNNNNNNNNNNNNNNNNNNNNNNNNNUUUUAUUUAUCUUUUGUGACUGACGUCAUGAGCAUAAAUAUUUUCAGCACAUCAUGGUUAUAUUAUACCUGUGUUCAUAAUGUUUGCGAGUACAUUCAAAGUACUCACUGGCUUGUCCCUGGCUAUUGUCUUGGCCAGAUUUUCUUGCACGGAGAGGAGUGACGCGAUGACAGCCCCGGAACCUAAGCAAUGGAGAUAGCAGCCUCGCGAAGAUAGGAGUUAACCUGGUCAGCUGUUCCUGUGGGAAUUGGAGUCCCAUAGACACUGAUGAUCCACAAACCGCUUCCGCCAUCAACCACUAGAAACCAUUUGUUGUACUCACAGGCCAGAAUGGUCUUGUACUGCAUAUUUUGUAUGUUGCUUGGAAUUUCUGUAUCAAGUUGGAGCCUCAUCAGCUAACAGUAAUCCUGGGGCUGAUGAGCACGACGGUCUUUUCUGGAAAUUUAUUACCCGGAAAACCGGUCGUGACAGACUUGGUAUCAGAGCCAGGAUGACCAUUGGCUAAUCCUAUCUUAGCCAGGUCGAAAAACUUAGGCAAACCAACCCAUCAGACCCUAACCAAAAACCCCAGCCAAGCUUCCCGUGCAAGAUAGCCACACAGAGACCCCGACACUUUUGGCAGUCGGUGCCCAGCCUAUCAAUCUAGCCUGUCAGUCACGCGCUAGUAAUCUGUCUUAUUCGCAAGCGUGCGAGGGAAGACUUCGUUCCCUUUUUCUCUAAAAAGGGCACCUAGCCUCAACACAGCACAGCCCCGGCCAUCAUCCAAAAUACCUUGAUGACCCCAGAAAUACUUCGUCGUCUUUGGGGAGCACACUCCAACGGGAUUGUGGCCAACAAUCCACACGAUGGUCAUCAUCGCUGCCCCGAGCCUGCAGCCCCUCAACCCUCUCCAGCUGUUUCCGACAGUGUAAACCGUGGAGAAACCUCGGCAUCCGCGAAGCAAGCCCUCUUAGAUAUGAACGAGGUAGACUAAAAUCGCUCGAAGGAUACCGAGCCUUAGAAUGACCUCGCCUUGCAAUCUUGUGACCCUGUGUCACCAUAAUUAGAUGAUGUCUGCUUGUGCACUCCUGUUUUUAAUAGUAGCCAUGCAUGAGUAUGUUGAUGUGCGAUUGCAUUUUUUUAUCCCGGGCGUAGCUGCCAACCUCGACGACGCAAGUUUGUGCUAUGGAUGAAUCCUUUGGUUCUAGCUCACAGGAAAGGUAUUUUCAAAACAACUCCUAACAAAUCUCGAGGACGAGAUUUUCUUUUAAGGGGGGUAGUGUUGUGGCACCCCAAAAUUUUGACCUUGUUUCAUUAAUUAAAAUUUUGCCAGGAAACUAAAACUUUGAUUUUCUGGGCUCCCUUUUUGAUUU